UACGAAGGGGGCUAGCGUUGCUCGGAAUCACUGGGCGUAAAGGGUGCGUAGGCGGGUCUUUAAGUCAGGGGUGAAAUCCUGGAGCUCAACUCCAGAACUGCCUUUGAUACUGAGGAUCUUGAGUUCGGGAGAGGUGAGUGGAACUGCGAGUGUAGAGUGAAAUUCGUAGAUAUUCGCAAGAACACCAGUGGCGAAGGCGGCUCACUGGCCCGAUACUGACGCUGAUGCACGAAAGCGUGGGGAGCAAACAGG
rnacentral:rRNA from 1 species